rnacentral:lncRNA from 1 species
AACAUCACAAACUAGCUAUUAUUACUUAUGCUUGCAACUUCCUAACAUUCAUCUCCAUUCAGCUGUUCUUCACUCUCCUCAACCUCUUGAAAUGUGAUCCCCUCCAACUCCGGUUCAUCAAGAGAAAGCUGUGCAAGUUCUAUCAUCUCUUGUCCAUCAAUAUCAAACUGGUCUCCACCUACAAAACUCAUAUAAAACAACUUUUAAAAUGUAGUAAACAGUAAAUACAUACAUUGUUAAAUGUUAGGGAACAAGUGAACUUAUGUCCCAAUAUUUUGAAGGCCCUUCA